GGGUCUGUAGCUUAACGGGAAAGCGUCUGCCUUGCAAGCAGAAAAAUGUCGGUAUUGCCUGCGGCAACGCUUACGCGAACAAAUCCGACCAGAAUCC
rnacentral:tRNA from 1 species